rnacentral:tRNA from 1 species
ACAGUGGUGGCUCAGUGGUAGAGUUCUCACCUUCCAUGCAGGAGACCCGGGUUCGAUUCCCGGCCAAUGCA